GGACAUUCUUGCUUGGUGGAAAGCAAAUACCGAGAAAUACCCAAUCCUUUCAGCAAUGGCUCGAGACUUUCUUGCUGUCCCGUUGAGCACAAUAUCUUCAGAAUCGGCAUUCAGCUGUGGUGGCAGAAUUCUGGGGGAUUAUCGAAGCUCAAUGAAGCCAGAAAUGGUCGAGGCAUUGGUUUGUAGUAAAGAUUGGUUGACUGAACUUCCGGAGAACGAAGGUAAAGACCCAAUGGUGAUUGUCGCCUAGAUCUUUGAUCUCCAUCAAUGCCUACAGGUUCUACAGUGGUGUUGUUAAAGAAAGCCAAGGGAGAAAGAAGUGUCAUCUGAAGAGGAAGAACAUGCCGG